rnacentral:lncRNA from 12 species
GUGGUGGCUUCAGACUAUCCAUGAACAGGGUGGGAGAAAAGAGAAGGUGUCUACACUUCAACAAAGGUGGAGAAGCAGCAGAAGCAAAAGAGCCUUGAGGAGGGGAAGCUGAGUCAAACUGGAUGCUCAGAGACCAAGAUUUUGAUAAAUCUUCAAGAUGCCCAGGUGGAGAAAAACUGUGGUGGUGGUGCUGCUGGAGCUCCAGCAGCACAGAUCAGCAGAGGACCCAACCCAUGCAGAGCAG